UCACAAAGAGGGGUGGGAAAGGGCAGGGGACAGAGAGAUGGGGACAGCUGGGGGCCAGGAUGGCUGGGGAGCAGGUGGGAAAAUGACCAGGCUGGAAGCAGACACAGGGCUGUGGAAACCGUGUCAGCACAGUCCAGGCUUUAGUUCGUAGGUGCUCGGGAGCCAUUAAGAGUCCUGGGCGGAGUGACAUGCUCCAGACCUGCCAUGGGAAGGUCGUCCUGGAGGCCCUCUGGGGCUUGGCCUCCGGAAAGGCUGAAGGUGGGAACUGGUCAGGAGGCCUGUCGGGGCUGCGAGGGGGCUGGGGCUGCUCUGGAACCACAACAGAGGCGAGGGAGAUGGCGGCGAGGGUGAUGGCAGGGGUGCUAAUGCAGCCCCCUUGGAGAUGCCAAGCACUCCCCAUUCUUCUUUGCCUAAGGGGCAGGCCUGCUGUCACCCCAUCUUACUGUUGGGGAAACGGGCAAGACACUGCUCAUGGUCACACAGCAUGUAAACAGCCUGGAUGGGAUUUUAACUGAGGUCUGUCUAACUCCAGGCACACCCAGUACGGUGGGGCUAACAGAAUGGCUGGAAACACAGUUAAUUGGUGGGAGAGGGAGGGAGGUGUUCUAGUGGCUUCUUCCUGGGUGCCCGGGACCGACGACGGUGGUUCAUGUGGGCCAGGCAGGUGGAGAGGAGGCGCUUGUAACCAGGUUGUCUAGAACCAAAUGAAAACCUGACACCCACAAUAGCAUGGGGGGUAUUGACGGUCUGUGAUUGGAGCUAUAGGGCUGAAGUGCCUGGAAAAGACUGGGGCCAGAGGUGCCCACCUGGUACAUGGGGAAGAUAUUUGUUUUAUCACCAGCACAGGAAAGCAAGGUGCAAACGGAAUUGCAGGAACACACCUUGAGAAUCUGUGCUGUUUGUUAUGCAUCGUUAUGACAACCUGUGACAUGCGGAAACAGGAGCUCCGAGACAUUCAGGAACUCAUCUAAAUCCACACAGCUAGUAACGGAUUCACCUAAGAGGGUUACAAAGCUGCAAAUUGGAAUGGUAGGAGCCUUGCAGUUCCUUUAUUUGCUUAUCUGCAUUCUCUCUAUAGUUACUAUCAAUUAGUUUUGUAAUAGGAAAAAAAUUUUUUAUAGAGCAAAGAAGGUUUGAAAGUAUAAAUAGACUUUUUGGAAGACAGUUUGCUGACCUUCAUCAAAAGCUGAAAAUCUGGCAUAUUCUUUGAUGCAGCAAUUCCAUUUUUAGAAGAUAAUCAAAGAAGCAACCAGACAUAUAUGUAUAAAGAUGUCAAAGCAGGAAAUUCAAGAAAACCUGGAAAUUCCUUAAAUGUCCCAAAAGCAGGAAUUGAGAUGAAUUUUGACUCAGCCAUAUGAUUGAAUUCAAUACUAGGUACAUCAGAAGGGACCGUAUGGAUCGACAUGGGGCAGGAGGGUUCCUUUGGAAGAGGCUGCACCGAGCGUGUGUGAUGGGGAGGAAACCCAUCCAAUUAGCAGGUGACACUUGAUGGGUGUGUAAAGUUGGAAGGGUACACACCACAAUGCCUUGUGACUUAAAUUUUUCUUUCUAAUUACCUGUAUUUUCUAGGGUUUUUUUUUUUCUACAGUAAAAAUGGGUUACUUGGGGAGAAGUACUUACUUUUAAAUGGAAAGGGAGGAAAUAAAUGCAGAAGUAAGAAAAAGUGGAGCAUGUGUAAGUUCAUGGAAGAGAGACUUACCUGGAGAGUGAACAGUACAGCUGCCUCUGAAACCCAGCAGGAGGAAAGCCUGAGAUGCGGGAAGGAGGAAGCCACUCACGGCCUUACAUCCCUUUUGGAAAACAUUUGUUUAUUAUCUCCUGCCACCUUCCUCUCAGCCCCAACCCCCUUUCCUCGGCCUCUCCUUGGAUGUCAUUACCUGGAUAUGCCACAGGGGGUUCAAACUCAGCAUACCACAGUCAGGCUGCCUCCUCCCUCGGCCCCCAAAUGUUCAGACAGGCCAGCACCAGACUCAUUCACCCCUACUCUCCAUGCUCUUGGGCUCUACCACCACCCAUCCAAACCGAGUCCCAUUCUAGAUUCUUCCUUCUGUCUCCCCAAGCUCCUGUAAAUGAUCCUUUAAAUGACCCUUUGACCAAGCUCUCCUCUGUAAUCUCCAGGCUACAGACUUCCUCAUCUCUUGUCUAGAACAGAUCACCGCCACCCUAUCUGCAGUGCACUCCUACCCCGAACCCCUCCUCCACGCCUCACUGAUUCUACACGCCGUCGGACCAUUUGACUCACACAUAAUGCCCUGCUGCUAUUCUAUCCAGGAUGCAGUCUAACUUCUUUAAAAUAUUGCAAAUAACGAAGCAAUAAACAUCUUGUACAUACAA